UACGUAGGGGGCAAGCGUUGUCCGGAAUUAUUGGGCGUAAAGAGCGCGUAGGCGGUCCGAUAAGUCGGCUGUGAAAGUCUAGGGCUCAACCCUGGAAAGCCGGCCGAUACUGUCGGACUAGAGUCCGGAAGAGGCAAGUGGAAUUCCCGGUGUAGCGGUGAAAUGCGCGGAUAUCGGGAGGAACACCUGUGGCGAAGGCGGGUAGCUGGGCCGACACUGACGCUGAGGCGCGAAAGCUAGGGGAGCGAACGGG
rnacentral:rRNA from 1 species